rnacentral:lncRNA from 1 species
AUUGUUGCUGCUGCACCAGAUCGAGGAGGAAGAAGACCUGCAAAUAAGCAAUAACUAGCAAUGCACAAGCAUGAAUUCAUGGAAGGACGGAUGCAAGGACAAACAUCCAGCAUACUGUUUCUUAAUGCCCCAACUACUUAAAAACCCAUGGUAGUUCUAACCAUAUUAAACUAAAGGACAAAGUGAAGUCAUGAUGAAUUGAUAGUUCCAUCUUAUAAAGCUUUCUGUUUAGCAUAUCCUAAAUCACAGUCUAUCUACCAAUAUAUGAACUCUUUAGUUUUCAGAACCGAGGCUCACAUAUUUGGGCUGAUUUGUACACAGCCAAGAAAAACUUCUUACAAAUAAAUUCAUGGAAGCAUAUCAUCCUUUCAGUCCCUCACCCAUAUCUUCUAGUAGUAUUACAGACAAACUAAAUUUUACAUAGGGAGGUUCAGAUUAUCUUCACUGUAUUUUUAGUAUUUUUUUAAUUGAGACAAAAUAAAUGCUAACAUCAAUGAAAACAAGACUUGAACAGAAAUAGCUAUUGAAGAAACACGUUUAUAAGAUAGAAUGAAAAUGAUUUACACCACAACAUAUAGUUCACAUGUACUGGAGCUAUCACAGAGACUACAGAACACACAUAAUCACACAUAUGCGAACAGGGUACUACUCCAUGGUUCAGGUUACACUAAUAAACAAAAUUAUACAAGUGACUAGACUAGUAUCACAGAUCUACAGAGUAGUACUAAACAACUAAAAAUAAGUAGUAGAAGUAACUAGUACAGGAAGCAAGUACUCUUAAAAUCUGAAUCUUACAGACUUAUACAACACCGAGAAAUUCAGAGAAGAAAGGGAGAAAGAAAGAUUGCAGGAGGAGGUCGAGGAUUAUGCAAAUUAACUGCCAUGUUCCUAAUGGACCUCUGCUUGUACCCAAAUUUGGGACUCGUUCACUUUCAUAUAUACAAAACUGGGAGGUAGCUGUCUGUCCUGUUCCAAAAUUUGGGAGUCGUUGUUCAAGCAUCCUAUAAUACAACAAUAUAUGCCCAGACAAGCAGUUGAAAAAUACUUAGAAGGAACUUUCACUUAAAAAGACACCCAGCCUAUAAUACUAGCUAUACAAGCCCAGACAAUGUGUUCAAAAAUUCAGACAAUGUGUCCAAUGAUACUAGCUAUAUUGUGACGCCCGGAUAAUCAAGCUACAGUAAACCUAUGCUAAUGGUGCCACGUCACCUCGGUUACUAUUGAUAAACUCGAGCUAGUUAAAAAAAU